AGGGGAGCAGCUUUCCUCACUGAGGAAGAAAAAUGGAAGCACACAACUCACAGCCAUGGCAGACAUGAUACUGUCAGCAUCUGUGUCCCCACAUAAACAGCUGUCUAUAUGAAACAAGGCAGGAGGCUCAUAUUAAAUAAUGAAGAUAGAAUACAUUAAUUACACCAUGGGAUCACUUACACUAUGGUGAGUUCAGAAGAAGCAAAGGCUCUCCCACAC